rnacentral:tRNA from 1 species
GCCUGGGUGGCUCAGUCGGUUAAGUGCCUGACUUCAACUCAGGUCAUGAUCUUGCAGUCUGUGAGUUCGAGCCCCACAUCAAGCU